AGGACGAACGCUGGCGGCGUGCUUAACACAUGCAAGUCGAGCGGUGAUCCUCCUUCGGGAGGUGAUCAGCUGCGAACGGGUGAGUAACACGUGGGCAACCUGCCCCUCACACUGGGAUAAACCUCGGGAAACCGGGGCUAAUACCGGAUACGACCUCGAGCGGCAUCUCUUGAGGUGGAAAGCUCCGACGGUGAGGGAUGGGCCCGCGGCCUAUCAGCUUGUUGGUGGGGUAAUGGCCUACCAAGGCGACGACGGGUA
rnacentral:rRNA from 1 species